rnacentral:lncRNA from 1 species
GUCCUGGCAAUAUCACAAGAACCAUUACUGAUGAAUGGUGAAAGUGAAAAUCGUCAAUAUCAAAUUUGACCUCCAUUUUGUCAUCAGUAUCAACAUCUUAAAAUUUGAAAAGCUUAGAUUGAAUGGUUCAUGAGUAAAUGCAACAACGUGAAUGGAAACGCCAUUUCACAAUCUUUCAAGAACCAUAACUCCUGAACGGUAAAAGUCAAAAUCGUCAUUAUUGAACUUG